CCUACGGGAGGCAGCAGUAAGGAAUCUUCCGCAAUGGGCGAAAGCCUGACGGAGCAACGCCGCGUGGGCGAUGAAGGCCUUCGGGUCGUAAAGCCCUUUUCUGUGGGACGAUAAUGACGGUACCACAGGAAUAAGCCACGGCUAACUACGUGCCAGCAGCCGCGGUAAUACGUAGGUGGCUAGCGUUAUCCGGAUUCACUGGGCGUAAAGAGCGCGUAGGCGGUGUGCUAAGUUGGACGUGAAAGCCCCCGGCUUAACCGGGGGAGGUCGUCCAAGACUGGUGCACUUGAGGGUGGACGGGGAAAGCGGAAUUCCCGGUGUAGUGGUGAAAUGCGUAGAUAUCGGGAGGAACACCAGCGGCGAAGGCGACCCUCUGGACGGAUACUGACGCUAAUACGCGAAGGCGGGGGGAGCAAACAGGAUUAGAUCCCCUGGUAGU
rnacentral:rRNA from 1 species